AUACGGAGGGUGCAAGCGUUACUCGGAAUCACUGGGCGUAAAGCGCGCGCAGGCGGCUAUUUAAGUUGGAUGUGAAAGCCUACGGCUCAACCGUAGAACUGCAUCCAAAACUAUUUAGCUGGAGUGUGGGAGAGGAAGAUGGAAUUAGUUGUGUAGGGGUAAGAUCCGUAGAGAUAACUAGGAAUACCAAAAGCGAAGGCAAUCUUCUGGAACACUACUGACGCUGAGGCGCGAAAGCGUGGGGAGCAAACAGGAUUAGAUACCCUAGUAGUCC
rnacentral:rRNA from 1 species